GUGUGGCUCUACCUGAGCCUCCGAUGGUGUGAGGAGACGGCGGAUUGCCGA
rnacentral:snoRNA from 2 species